UACGAAGGGGGCUAGCGUUGUUCGGAUUUACUGGGCGUAAAGCGCACGUAGGCGGAUCGAUCAGUCAGGGGUGAAAUCCCAGAGCUCAACUCUGGAACUGCCUUUGAUACUGUCGAUCUGGAGUAUGGAAGAGGUGAGUGGAAUUCCGAGUGUAGAGGUGAAAUUCGUAGAUAUUGGGAAGAACACCGGUGGCGAAGGCGGCUCACUGGCUCAUAUCUGACGCUCAGGCGCGACAGGCGUGGGGAUCAAACAGG
rnacentral:rRNA from 1 species